rnacentral:lncRNA from 1 species
UGCUUGCUGCGUGAGAGUAACUGCUAGAUCCUUGGAGAUCUGGUGAACCUGAUUCCUGAUUUCCGGGUAGGCCUUCAGAUGUGUUUUGCUGAAUAUCACUUUCAGAAGAUCCCGGCUAAACUUCUUCUGUACAUUGCUGAGGAUGUCGUACACGACUCUCUCCAGUGGGACCAGGGCUUCAGAGUUGCCUGAAGUUCCAGGACCAACUUGAAGAUAGAGAAGCAAACAGGAUUCCCCGAGUUCUGUCCUCACAUGACCCAACUGCCUCUGGCUCUGGGAUUUGGAGUAAGUAGGCUUUGGAAGGCAGCCCAGCUUAGGUGUGUCUACUUGCAUCCUAGUAUCUGUUGUUACAUUACACAAGUGACCCUGGGAUGCUCUGCACUUCGGAGCAUUCCUGCUUGCUAUUCGUCGCUGUCACCAUGUGCCUCAGCCUCAGUUACUGCAGAGGUGAAUGUAAAUGGUUCCUGUGAUGUCUAUCCCUCCAGUUAUCUUCUGACUUACAAAGGUGAUGUCCCUUCAUCCCUGGAGGUGCUUCAGCCUGUUGGCUGCACCCAGAAGUACAGCAUGAUACAGCACAGGGCAGGCUUGCUGUCAGGACUGAGUUCAUUCUCCACACUCACCUGAAACUUCUGCUCCGAGAUGAAGUCUCGGUCUCGAAGGCUCAUGAGGAAAGGAAACGGCUUGGUGAUGGCACUUGCGAUCUCCACCUUG